rnacentral:rRNA from 1 species
CCUACGGGGGGCUGCAGUAGGGAAUAUUGCGCAAUGGACGAAAGUCUGACGCAGCGACGCCGCGUGGGUGACGAAGGUUUUCGGAUCGUAAAGCCCUGUCGGAAGGAAAGAAAAACGAUCUGGCUAACAUCCAGAUCGCUUGACGGUACCUUCAGAGGAAGCACCGGCUAACUACGUGCCAGCAGCCGCGGUAAUACGUAGGGUGCUAGCGUUGUUCGGAAUCAUUGGGCGUAAAGCGCGUGUAGGUGGUUAGUUAAGUCGAUUGUGAAAUCCCU